CUCAGAUUCGGAUAUGUCCGACUACCGGACCAGGGAGGAUUCCCGUCCGAGGAAACGCCAUGAGAAAGGCGAAGAUCAGGCACUAAAACCUCUUAAGGGUAAGGCGCAUGCCAAGCGCAAAUCUGCCAAAGCUAGUACCCCGACCCCGCGUCAGGAUUACUCUUCGGACGAAGAGCAAGGGUCUUCACAUAACAUGUCAGUGCUGGACGAAUGGCAAGCUGACGUCUCUGAUUCAGACGACGCUUGGGGUUCGGACGAAAAAUCUGUCUCCGCCCUCAUGCGGGAGACUCUUCUGGGUGCGGCCCAGACAGAGGGUACUGAAGACACUGCGGACGCAGAACACCCUCUAGAUUCGGACACCAUUUUAGACCCUUCGGGUCAAGCGAUGUUUGAUCCCCGCAACAUCCGCCACCCCAGAUCGGGAGACUGGUCACCCCCAGAACACCUCUCCAGGUUUAUGCACCUGUGGCUUCGCAAGCCCCUGGAGAAAGAGGUCCGCAACCGGCUCAGAUCCGAAUGCCCACGCCCUUCCCUGCCAGAUAAAGUGGCUCACACUCCCGAGUUUGAUAAGGUUAUGACAACCUUCAUGAUGCGUAGUGGGAGAGACCCUCGACGAGGGGUAGAGAAAGGCCUAUUCGGCGCACAGGAUAACCUGCUGGACUCCAUUGGCCCUCUGGCCCGUAUCAUGUA